GGCCCCGGUUCAGGGCGGCCUCGCGGGGAGAUCUCGGCGCGGGGGACCCGGGUCUCCUUCAGCGAAAUUGUAGCUGCUCUUUACACGGAAAACAGUGGUUAAGUUACAGAGGUGUGACCCAAAGUCCUCCCACUCAAGAGGACCCAUCUGUGUCCUCACCAGAGGGUCCCCAGCACACAGAGCCACAGCAGCACCACGACCCAGCACAACCCUCCAUACAGCAAAGCUGUGAGCAGAGAAGAGCUCAGAGCAGAGCCUUGGUCAGAAGUGCUAACCCUGCAUGCCUCAGCAGCCCAUAAUCAUAAAUCAUGGUGAGUCUAGAAUUACAAGUGCUGAAUACUGCUACUCAAUCCCUCUGCAGAGUACUGCCUUCAAGCCAUGAAAGAUUCCAGUUUUUUUGGGAUCUUGAGACAUCCAAAGGGGUCUGAAGGACAAAGACGGACAGACAGUCUCUUACCUAUCAUGUUUGUUCAAUACUUCAUGAAACAAUUAGGAUAUGAGGUACUUAAAAAUCACUAAUCAUUUCAGAAUAUGGACUGCUGAACCCCUGCUGGGUUAUUAUUUAUAUGACAAUAUAUUUAUGAGUGUACACAGAUUUAUAAAAAAGCAAUAAUUUAUCCAGCAGAUGCUCACUGUGAACAGGAUGAUAAUGUGUUCAGAGGUCAAACAAGUCCUCUAGUUAGAGUCCACAAGAAUGUUACCCUCUGAAACCAUGUUCAGUGAGUCCAAACGAAGCUCUGAGAAAGACCGAUUGCCAUUUUGUCUGUGAGCUCUGGGAUGUGAUGCUGGGCACUGGAAAAGCAGAUGGGUGGCCUUUGCCAAUGGGAACAGCACCCUCGAGUGGGAAAAUGAAGUUCCUCCUAGUCAGCAGGACCUGAGGUUCUCUGACACUCACACAGAAGUACUGAGACGAAUGCGUGCAAGUGGUGUUACUUGAGGUAACACCACAAACAGAACACUGGGUGCUGAGUCCUCAUCAUGUCUCUCAGCUCUUCAUGAGUUGCUGGCCAUGUGUUGCAUUUUGCAUACACCUUUCAUGCCAUUGCUCAGGCAGUGGUGGCUGCCACGGCGCUGCACCAUUCAAUGCCUCUCCUUGUGCAGGGCACCGGGAAGGGGAAGCUGCCGCCACACCUGCCCUGCUGCCCGUGGCACAGCUGGCUAGGAGUGCCCAAGUGAGCUUGCCAAAAUGAUGGUGGCUGUGGUAGCUGUAUGGCCAUACCCAGUGCUGGGAUCAGACCCUGGCAACGGCGCCUUGCCACCCCUUGGAAAAAACUUCCCACACAUAAUUUUGAUUUCCUUCUCAAAUAUGUCACCACAGAGCAUUACCAGCCUCUCAAGUUGGGCCAGCAGCAUGUCCGUCUUCAGAGCCAUCAGAGAUUAGCUCUGUCAGACACGGUAAAGCUUCUGACAGCUUCUCAGAGAAGCUACUUUUGUGGCCCUUCUCCAGUACUAAAAACUAGGCUGUGCCAAAUCAGCACAGUUGCUAGCCUCACUCUCACAGUGCUGUUGAUGCCUGCUGAUCUAUCAGACCCAUGUUUGGACAUAUGGAAGGAUCUGUGUUGUGACCCUGAGCAUGUGUCACAGCUAAAUCCCAGCUGGCAACUAAAUACCACACAGCUGCUCCUCACCCACCUCCAUCCUGCCUCUGGUGGGAAGAAUCAGAAAGAAAAGUUAAAGCUCGUGGGCUGAGAGAAGAACAGUUUAACAAUAAAAAACCCAUAAAAGAACCCCACCAAUAAUAAUAAACCCAAUACUAGUAACUGUUGUGAAAAGGAGACAGGGAUAAAAAGCAAGAGGAAAAAGUGGAGCCCAAUACAAUUGCUCACCAUCCACUGACUAAUGCCCAGCCCAUUCUUGAGCAGUAAUCAGCCUCUCCUGGGCAGCUCUCCCCUGUUUACUGUCCUAGGAUGAUGUUAUGGUGUUUGUAUCCCCAGUGUGUGUUCUGUUUCUGUUUGAUAUUCUGUUCUGUGCUUUCAGAACCGACUCUGAAAGUGAAGGUUUGUUUUGCCUUGUUAUCAG